rnacentral:rRNA from 1 species
CAUGUAGGCGGUUUUGCAAGCUUGAUGUGAAAUGCCGGGGCUUAACUCCGGCACUGCGUUGAGAACUGCAUGACUAGAGUAACUGAGGGGCAGCCGGAAUUCCAGGUGUAGGGGUGAAAUCUGUAGAUAUCUGGAAGAACACCAAUGGCGAAGGCAGGCUACCAGCAGAUUACUGACGCUGAGGUGCGAAGGUGCGGGGAGCAAACA